UACGAAGGGGGCUAGCGUUGCUCGGAAUCACUGGGCGUAAAGGGUGCGUAGGCGGGUCUUUAAGUCAGGGGUGAAAUCCUGGAGCUCAACUCCAGAACUGCCUUUGAUACUGAAGAUCUUGAGUUCGGGAGAGGUGAGUGGAACUGCGAGUGUAGAGGUGAAAUUCGUAGAUAUUCGCAAGAACACCGGUGGCGAAGGCGGCCAUCUGGCUCGGUACUGACGCUCAGGUUCGAAAGCGUGGGGAGCAAACAGG
rnacentral:rRNA from 1 species